CCUACGGGUGGCAGCAGUGGGGAAUAUUGCACAAUGGGCGAAAGCCUGAUGCAGCAACGCCGCGUGAGCGAUGAAGGCCUUCGGGUCGUAAAGCUCUGUCCUAAGGGAAGAAUACUGACGGUACCUUAGGAGGAAGCCCCGGCUAACUACGUGCCAGCAGCCGCGGUAAUAAGUAGGGGGCUAGCGUUAUACGGAAGGACUGGGCGUAAAGGGUGCGAAGGCGGCCCUUCAAGGCAGAGGUGAAAGGCGACGGCGCAACCGUAGUAAGCCUUUGAAACUGUAGGGCUGGAGUGGAGGAGAGGAGAGUGGAAGUCCCAGUGUAGCGGUGAAAUGCGUAGAUUUUGGGAGGGACACCAGUUGCGAAGGAGGCUCUCUGGACUGUAACUGACGCUGAGGCACGAAAGCGUGGGGGGCGAACAGGAUUAGAUACCCUAGUAGUC
rnacentral:rRNA from 1 species